CAAGUGAUAUCAGAGCAAGGUGGUACCAGAGCAUAAGUUGCAGUAGUGGUGAUCGAGAUAGAAGAUGGAGAAGACAAGCACAAUCAAGGUGAAGAUCAAUAGCUUUGAUGAAAAGAGCAAUUUCUCCUUGUGGCAGUUAAGGGUGAAGGACAUACUCAUCCAGUAAGGAUUGAUCGAUGCUCUCUUAUACAAGAAGAAGCCAACUACUAUGGAGGUACA
rnacentral:lncRNA from 1 species